UCCCCGGCUAGGCAUGGACUAGCUACCCAUGCCGAAAAGGCGGAACCCUUGCCGCCCUGCCGAGGGAGACCAAAAGAGCGU
rnacentral:sRNA from 12 species